CCUACGGGUGGCAGCAGUGGGGAAUAUUGCGCAAUGGGCGAAAGCCUGACGCAGCGACGCCGCGUGAGGGAUGAAGGUCUUCGGAUCGUAAACCUCUGUCAGCAGGGAAGAACGGUCACUGUGCUAAUCAGCAGUGAAUUGACGGUACCUGCAAAGGAAGCACCGGCUAACUCCGUGCCAGCAGCCGCGGUAAUACGUAGGGUGCGAGCGUUAAUCGGAAUUACUGGGCGUAAAGCGCUCGUAGGCGGUAUGUCAAGUCAAGGGUGAAAUCCCCGCGCUCAACGUGGGAACUGCCUUUGAAACUGGCAAACUGGAGUGUGGGAGAGGAGAGUGGAAUUCCAGGUGUAGGAGUGAAAGCCGUAGAUAUCUGGAGGAACAUCAGUGGCGAAGGCGACUAUCUGGCACAUAACUGACGCUGAGGAGCGAAAGCGUGGGUAGCAAACAGGAUUAGAUACCCGAGUAGUC
rnacentral:rRNA from 1 species